CAGCCGUAAACAAUGUGCGUUAGGUGUGUCGGUAACCACGUGUUACUGAUGCGCCGAAGAGAAAUCGUGAAACGCACCACCUGGGAAGUACGGUCGCAAGGCUGAAACUUAAAGGAAUUGGCGGGGGAGCACCACAACAGGUGGAGCCUGCGGUUUAAUUGGAUUCAACGCCGGACAUCUCACCGGAUAAGACAGCUGAAUGAUUGUCAAUCUGAAGACUCUGCAUGACUAGCUGAGAGGUGGUGCAUGGCGUAGACGUCU
rnacentral:rRNA from 1 species